GAUCAAGUACAAGGUUGAGGGAAGUCUGUCUUUUUUUUUUGUCUCUUAUGCCACGCUUGGAGAGGAACUGGGCACCGAGUGAAGCCGAGGGGGUCGCCCAAACCCGUAGGCCGGCAUGGCCCGGGGGUCCAGCCCCGGCCUGAGCUCCCCUGUGGUCCUCAGCGUGGCACGUGUUCCUUGCCUGCCCCGUUCCGCAAUUCCGGCGGGGAAGUCCAAACCUCCAGAUCUACAGCUCCCUACAGUGCCAUUGGUGACCUGGUUGGAGACCUUGAAUGUAAAUCAACGUCAGUCAGUUCCGGCAGCUGGCGGUAAGGCUGGAGGUAGUCCAUGUCUGCCUGAAGUGCUCAGCAAUAAAGCAAAGGUGGUAUGAAUUGA